rnacentral:rRNA from 1 species
CAGUCGCCACGGGAAUACGUAGGUGGCAAGCGUUAUCCGGAAUUAUUGGGCGUAAAGCGCGCGCAGGCGGUUUCUUAAGUCUGAUGUGAAAGCCCACGGCUCAACCGUGGAGGGUCAUUGGAAACUGGGGAACUUGAGUGCAGAAGAGAAAAGCGGAAUUCCACGUGUAGCAGUGAAAUGCGUAGAGAUGUGGAGGAACACCAGUGGCGAAGGCGGCUUUUUGGUCUGUAACUGACGCUGAGGCGCGAAAGCGUGGGGAGCAAACAGGAUUAGAUACCCCCGUAGUCCCUGUCUCUUAUAC